GUGAAUCAUCGAAUCUUUGAACGCAAAUUGCACUCUCCUCGGAGAGUAUGCCUGUUUGAGGGUCAGCCUAUAAAAAAUCGCCAUCGUUGCUGUUUCGCGGUGGCGUUCGUCGGAACUUGGGUCAUCUUAAAACUUUUGGUUUUAAGCGACUUAAAAUUUUCUUUUUGUUUCCAUGAACGCUUCUAAUAUUUAUUUCUUUACACGUUUAAGGUAUCGUUUUUUAUUAGACUGGACC
rnacentral:misc_RNA from 1 species